AGUUUGAUCCUGGCUCAGGAUGAACGCUAGCUACAGGCUUAACACAUGCAAGUCGAGGGGCAGCAUUGGGGUAGCAAUACUUCAGAUGGCGACCGGCGCACGGGUGAGUAACACGUAUCCAACCUGCCGCUUACUCGGGGAUAGCCUUUCGAAAGAAAGAUUAAUACCCGAUGGUAUAAAGAGUUCGCAUGUUCUCUUUAUUAAAGAAUUUCGGUAAGCGAUGGGGAUGCGUUCCAUUAGAUAGUUGGCGGGGUAACGGCCCACCAAGUCUACGAUGGAUAGGGGUUCUGAGAGGAAGGUCCCCCACAUUGGAACUGAGACACGGUCCAAACUCCUACGGGAGGCAGCAGUGAGGAAUAUUGGUCAAUGGACGAGAGUCUGAACCAGCCAAGUAGCGUGAAGGAUGACUGCCCUAUGGGUUGUAAACUUCUUUUAUAAGGGAAUAAAGUGAGGGACGUGUCCCUUUUUGUAUGUACCUUAUGAAUAAGGAUCGGCUAACUCCGUGCCAGCAGCCGCGGUAAUACGGAGGAUCCAAGCGUUAUCCGGAUUUAUUGGGUUUAAAGGGAGCGUAGGUUGACAUAUAAGUCAGCUGUGAAAGUUUACGGCUCAACCGUGAAAUUGCAGUUGAUACUGUAUGUCUUGAGUGUACAAGAGGUGGGCGGAAUUCGUGGUGUAGCGGUGAAAUGCUUAGAUAUCACGAAGAACUCCAAUUGCGAAGGCAGCUCACUGGGGUACAACUGACACUGAGGCUCGAAAGUGUGGGUAUCAAACAGGAUUAGAUACCCUGGUAG
rnacentral:rRNA from 1 species